rnacentral:rRNA from 1 species
AGAGUUUGAUCAUGGCUCAGGAUGAACGCUAGCUACAGGCUUAACACAUGCAAGUCGAGGGGAAACGACAUCGAAAGCUUGCUUUUGAUGGGCGUCGACCGGCGCACGGGUGAGUAACGCGUAUCCAACCUGCCCACCACUUGGGGAUAACCUUGCGAAAGUAAGACUAAUACCCAAUGACGUCUCUAGAAGACAUCUGAAAGAGAUUAAAGAUUUAUCGGUGAUGGAUGGGGAUGCGUCUGAUUAGCUUGUUGGCGGGGUAACGCCCAUCAAGGCGACGAUCAGUAGGGGUUCUGAGAGGAGUCCCCANAUUGGAACUGAGACACGGUCCAAACUCCGUACGGGAGGCA